rnacentral:rRNA from 1 species
CCUACGGGUGGCUGCAGUGAGGAAUAUUGGUCAAUGGACGAGAGUCUGAACCAGCCAAGUAGCGUGAAGGAUGACUGCCCUAUGGUUUUUAAACUUCUUUUAUAUGGAAAUAAAAUGUUCCGCGUGUGGGGUUUUGUAUGUACCCUAUCAAUAAGGAUCGGCUAACUCCGUGACAGCAGCCGCGGUAAUACGGAGGAUCCGAGCGUUAUCCGGAUUUAGUGGGUUUAAAGGGAGCGUAGGUGGAUUGUUAAGUCAGUUGUGAAAGUUUGCGGCUCAACCGUAAAAUUGCAGUUGAAACUGGCAGUCUUGAGUACAGUAGAGGUGGGCGGAAUUCGUGGUGUAGCGGUGAAAUGCUUAGAUAUCACGAAGAACUCCGAUUGCGAAGGCAGCUCACUGGACUGCAACUGACACUGAGGCUCGAAAGUGUGGGUAUCAAACAGGAUUAGAUACCCCAGUAGUC